UCUGAUUUCCGGCGACUGUACGCUGCCGCUUCCUCCGUCCUCCUCGGGGCGCGGAAGUGGUUGUCUUGGUGACGGGUCCUAACGGUCUCCGACCUGAGAUUCCUGGUUGAGGGGCUGCAACCUGAGCUUCUGUUCUGAGACGCUUUCAGGUCCUUGAAGUGGACGCGGUGGGUGGGUGGCUGGUCCAGCCUUCGACGUGGAGUAAUUUGAAGCUUUCGAGAAAAUUGAAAUAGAACUGGAGAAGAAAACUGACCCAUAAAAAAGAUGUCUCGAAAAAUUUCCAAGGCAUCAAAAAAGGUGAACAUCUCUAGCUCUCUGGAAUCUGAAGAUAUUAGUCUAGAAACAACAAUUCCUACAGACGAUAUUUCAUCAUCAGAAGAACGAGAUGGGAAAAUUAAAAUCACCCAGCAACUAAUUGAACGUAAAGAACUACUUCAUAAUAUUCAGUUACUGAAAAUAGAACUAUCCCAGAAAAAUAUGAUGAUAGACAACUUGAAAGUGGAUUAUCUUACAAAGAUUGAAGAAUUAGAGGAGAAACUUAAUGAUGCUCGUCACCAGAAGCAGCUACUGACAUUGAGAUUAGACAAUCAAUUGACUUUUCAACAGAAGGAUGCCAGAAAAUAUCAAGAACUAAUGAAACAAGAAAUGGAAACGAUUUUAUUGAGACAGAAACAACUAGAAGAGACAAAUACUCAGCUAAGGGAGAAGGCGGGAGAUAUUCGUCGAAAUCUGCGUGACUUUGAGUUGACAGAGGAGCAAUAUAUGAAACUAAAAGGUUUUCCUGAAGAUCAGCUUUCUAUUCCUGAAUACGUAUCUAUUCGGUUCUAUGAACUAGUAAAUCCAUUAAGAAAGGAAAUCUCUGAACUGCAAAUGAAAAAGAAUGACCUAUUAGAAGAAUUGAGUGAAAAUAAAGGCCAAUUGAAACAACUGACAGAGACUUAUGAGGAAGAUCGAAGAAAUUAUUCUGAACUUCAAAUUAGAUGUCAACGUUUGGCCUUAGAAUUAGCUGACACAAAACAGUUAAUUCAGCAAGGGGACUACCGUCAAGAAAACUAUGGUAAAGUCAAAAAUGAGCGCGAUGCCCUUGAACAGGAAAUAAUUGAGUUAAGGAGAAAACAUGAAAUACUUGAAGCCUCUCACAUAACUCAAGCUAAAGAAAGAAAUGAAUUAUCAAAAGAGGUAACCACCUUACAACAAACCGUUACUUUACUGCAAAAGGAUAAAGAGUAUCUCAGUCGCCAAAACAUGGAGCUUAGUGUUCGCUGUGCCCAUGAAGAGGAUCGCCUUGAAAGACUUCAGGCUCAACUUGAAGAAACCAAAAAGGCUAGAGAAGAGAUGUAUGAAAAAUAUGUAACAUCCAGAGACCAUUAUAAAACAGAAUAUGAAAAUAAACUACAUGAUGAACUGGAACAAAUCAGAUUGAAAACUAAUCAAGAAAUUGAUCAACUUCGAAGUGCCUCUCGGGAAAUGUAUGAACGGGAAAACAGAAAUCUCCGAGAAGCAAGGGAUAAUGCUGUAGCUGAAAAGGAACGAGCAGUGAUGGCUGAAAAGAAUGCUUUAGAAAAACAUGAUCAGCUCUUAGACAGGUACAGAGAACUACAACUUAGUUCAGAAAGCAAAGUCACAGAAUAUCUCCAUCAAAGUAAAUUAAAAUCUUUUGAAAGUGAGCGUGUUCAACUUAUACAGGAGGAAACUGCAAGAAAUCUCACACAGUGCCAGUUGGAAUGUGAAAAAUAUCAAAAAAAAAUAGAGGUUUUAACUAAAGAAUUUUAUAGUCUCCAAGGCUCUUCUGAAAAACGCAUUACUGAACUUCAAGCACGGAACUCUGACUAUCAGGCAAGGCUCGACAUUUAUGAGAGAUUGGAAAAAGAGCUUGAUGAAAUAAUAAUGCAAACUGCAGAAAUUGAAAAUGAAGAUGAAGCUGAAAGGGUUCUUUUUUCCUAUGGCUAUGGUGCUAAUGUUCCCACAACAGCCAAAAGACGACUAAAGCAAAGUGUCCACUUGGCAAGAAGAGUGCUUCAGUUAGAAAAACAAAACUCACUGGUUUUAAAAGACCUGGAACAUCAAAAGGACCAAGUAACACAGCUUUCACAAGAGCUUGACAGGGCCAAUUCUCUGUUAAACCAGACUCAGCAACCUUACAGAUAUCUCAUUGAAUCAGUGCGUCAGAGAGACUCUAAGAUUGAUUCGCUGAAAGAGCAUGUUACACAACUUGAGAAAGAUGUCAGCAAUUUGAAUAAAGAAAAGUCAGCUUUACUACAGAUGAAGAAUCAAAUGGCAUUAGAUUUAGAACAACUUCUAAAUCAUCGUGAGAUACCCCAGGAGCAGGAUUUCUGGGUCCUAUGGAAAGUAUAUGUUUAACUUUAUAAGAGACUGCCAAACUAUUUUCCACAGUGACUGCACCUUUUGCAUUCCCGUCAGCAAUGAAUGCGUGUUCCAGUUGUUCCGCAUCCUCGCCAACAGUUGGUAUUAUGAAGCCUAGUUUUUUAAUCCAGUGCAUUUUUUCCAUUGAACUAUCACUGCCUUGUCUUGGCCAUGUUUUUGCCAUUUUGUUAUCCUAACAGAGAAAGAAAUGCUCAAAACAGAUCAUUGGUUUAUAAGUAUCCUGAAGACAUUGUUUCCUAGUCUGGGAAAGCUAUAUCAGGUAUUUGGGAAGAAAUUAUUGGAAAGAUAUUAUUGAGAGAGAUGAAGUGGGGAAUAUUACUGGAAGCAGUUCAGAAGUGCAUAUCCUAGAAGUGGUGUCAGGGGAAUUGCAGGGUUGUCUCUGUCUUAGAAAUGGCCUUUGGAGUAGGUUCUCUUAAAGGUGUAUUUUAUAUGUUGGGUGAAAGGGAUAAGGUGUCCCUGGACUAGAUUUUAGACAUGACUUUUGUGUAGCUAACUAGAUCUAACAACAGGUGAUAUAGAUUAGGAAGAGCUUCUCUGAAGAUACUUACUCUUUUUUUCUGGCUUUCAGGCCCCAUCUACUACCACUUGUGUCCUAAGAUUCUGCCUUCAAAUAGUUGUUUCUUCACUGUGGAAGCCUGAUUCAUUCACUAUGUGGAUUUUCACAAAUGUUUUCCAAAAUUGACUAUUUAGGAAAUAGUAACUGCAGAUGUCCAUUCAGCGAUACCAGCUACUUUUUUUCCAUAAAGCUGCAUAACAAGAAUUGGCGACAAUGAAACAGAUUGUCACCAAUAUGCGCAGUAAGCGUUCUGAGGACCAGUUACUUCUUACUAAAACAGAAGCAAAAAAUAUGACAGAAGAUCAUAAAUCAAAGAUUUUAAAUGUGCCUAGAGAAC